AGGGCCACAUCCGCGGCAUAUGGAGGUUCCCAGGCUAGGGGUCGAAUCGGAGCUGUAGCCACCAGCUUACGCCAGAGCCACAGCAACGUGGGAUUUGAGCCGUGUCUGGGACCUACACCUCAGCUCAUGGCAAUGCUGGAUCCUGAAACACUAAGCGAGGCCAGGGAUUGAAUCUACAACCUCAUGGUUCCUAGUCGCAUUUGUUUCUCCUGUACCACGACGGGACCUCCUGAAAUCAAAGCAUAUAACUUGCUUCCUUGAAACCGAAUGGUCAUGUGAAUAUCAGACAAGUAGCUAUGUUGUGCACUAAGAGAUGUGUGUAACUCCACACUUUUAUCCACCCUUUGGGGCAUGUGCACAAAAAAUGUACUUUUGUCAUUAGCACGUUGGUUUGUAGGUAGGAGGUAAAAUAAAUGGAGACAUUGGGCUAAAAAGAAUUAAGGUGGAUCUGAGAAAAGCAUAAGGAUUUUUGUGAGGAUGGCAUGACAUUAGGAGGCAGUGGGAGAGAGGCACUUGGCCACCAUGUGGAUUUUUUUUUUUUGCUUUUUAGGGCCCAUAUGGAGGUUCCCAGGCUAGGGGUCGAAUCAGAGCUGUAGCCACCGGCCUACGCCACAGCCACAGCAAGGCGGGAUCUGAGCCACAUCUGCAACCUACACCAUAGCUCAAGGCAGCACCGGAUCCUUAACCCACUGAGCAAGAGCAGGUAUCGAACCCUCAACCUCAUGGUUCCUAGAUGGAUUCAUUAACCACUGCGCCACGAAGGGAACUACUGAAUUAGCUAAUUUUUUGACAAAGCCAAUUUAAUUCUUUUGGCCGCAGAGAUUCCUCUUCAGACUAAUCAAUAAAAAUCCAGAAACUAUCAUUUUAAAGGUUAAACUGCUACGUGGUUCAAAACUAAAGCAUUUCAAAACAAUUUCUCCCUCUAACUCUCCUUCCUUUUUAUCCUGUGGACAUAAUGACUGUAGCAUAAUGCUAUUUUUUAAAAAAAAUAUAAUUCCUCCACUUUUGGGGAAAAAAGACAUUGGAGUAUCAUGCUUCCAUGAUGGACUUAAGAAAGCAAUGAAAAAAAUCAGUAGGUUCCAAUGAUUAUGCAAUUUGAACUGUAAGUU
rnacentral:lncRNA from 1 species